CGCUCCGCUGACGAGUGGCGAACGGGUGAGUAAUGCAUCGGAACGUGCCGUGUAGUGGGGGAUAACGUAGCGAAAGUUACGCUAAUACCGCAUACGCCCUGAGGGGGAAAGUGGGGGACCGUAAGGCCUCACGCUAUACGAGCGGCCGAUGUCGGAUUAGCUAGUUGGUAGGGUAAAGGCCUACCAAGGCGACGAUCCGUAGCGGGUCUGAGAGGAUGAUCCGCCACACUGGGACUGACACACGGCCCAGACUCCUACGGGAGGCAGCAGUGGGGAAUUUUGGACAAUGGGCGCAAGCCUGAUCCAGCCAUGCCGCGUGAGUGAAGAAGGCCUUCGGGUUGUAAAGCUCUUUCAGACGGAAAGAAAUCGGUGUGUCUAAUACACGCACUGGAUGACGGUACCGUAAGAAGAAGCACCGGCUAACUACGUGCCAGCAGCCGCGGUAAUACGUAGGGUGCGAGCGUUAAUCGGAAUUACUGGGCGUAAAGCGUGCGCAGGCAUGUUAUGUAAGACAGAUGUGAAAUCCCCGGGCUCAACCUGGGAACUGCGUUUGUGACUGCAUAACUAGAGUACUGCAGAGGGAGGUGGAAUUCCGCGUGUAGCAGUGAGAUGCGUAGAGAUGUGGAGGAACACCGAUGGCGAAGGCAGCCUCCUGGGCCAGUACUGACGCUCAUGCACUAGAGCGUGGGGAGCAAA
rnacentral:rRNA from 1 species